UUAAUAGCACACCGUCGGACAUAGAAUGACGAACUGUCUCUUUUUCUUCCAUAACUGUCUCUUUAACACUCUUCCCCCUAUGGCUGGACGACACGUGCCACAGCGCACGACCUCCUUAUGUCUCCAUGAGCGGCAGCACAACAGCACAGUGAACAGAGGCUGAAGUCAUGACAGUAAUGACCAAAGAGCUGUCCGAGCUAUGGGAAAUGCUGUAGUCACUGCCGUGGCUGAAGGGGAAGAACGAGUGGAAACCAUUUCUCCGGGAUUUCGGCUGGUAUUGUCAUCUUGACUUUUUCCAGCAGUCCGCAGCUGGACGGCUGUAAAUACGACGUGCGCUAUUUCAAUGACCGUCGCAUCGCCGCAAAGACACGGGCUCCACAGUAACAACUUCGGUCAAGUUGGAUGAACCGCUCGCCGUCCCAUCCUCGCCUCUGCGUGGAUUCCUCUCUCGCCUCCUCGGGCACGCAUGCGCACACGCACGCUCAGUCAUUUGUUCCCUAUUCUCUCUCUCCUGCCGCAGAAACACUGAUGUCAUUUAUUUUUCUGCAACGUCACAUUCGGAUUCGUCGCGGUUCGCCAGCAUGAGUUCUGCGAUUGUAAAACACGAAGGUUGUAGACGUGUUUGGGUAAUAGGGUAAUAGGGUAAUGUAGACAACUUUCGUGUCGAUGACGUACACACGUAAAUUAAAAGUGUUUUUUAUUUUUUUAUUUUUUUAGCAAUUCUGCUGCACAGCAGGCUCAUCAAUUCACCGACGCACCAAUGUGCAAAGUCUGCACCGUCAGCGUUCAAGUCUCAUCCACAACAUAAACACCGCCCGCUGCGAGCGUUACGUCACCACACGAGUUUGGGUAAUGACGUCAGCUAACCGUCUCUGCAAGGACUUCGCAGAUGAGCGAGUCGCCGGCAUUCCGGACAUUAAAGUACGAGCACAUUGCAGAGCUGCCGUGGCGUUGGGAGCCCAAGUGGCUGGUGCAGUUUGCACAGUUUCCUGCACGUCAUGAAGGAGAAGGUGCACUGCAGUGGACGCGGGCAGGCAGGUGCCUGUGCAUGUGCUGCAAGGCGAGCCUCGUGCAGAUACAUCGCAGAUACUUUUAAAUACAUUACCCGUUUUUUUGUUUAUGUAGGAUUCAAAUAUUUUGAAGAACACACAAACGAAUGAUAUAUUUCUGUAACAGAAACGAUAUGCACAUUUUCCUAUUUCUUUACAUUUUCAUGAAUAUGCUUUCAUUCCUAGUUGAAAAUACAUUCACAGUUGCCUGUAACGAUGCAAUUCAAUUGUGCGUCCCUAUAAUAAAAACUACCAUCAGUA